rnacentral:lncRNA from 1 species
CUGACUUCUACUCUGAACCUCCUUAAUAUCUCUAAUGUAAGGAUUUACAUAAUUAAAGAGAAGAAUCAUUUUGUUAACUAAUUAUGAGAUGAUUGAUGGCCAGAGUUAAGGGCAGUGACUUGGCCUUAGGGCCUGGGCCUCUAGCUGAUGGCAGAUUUAACAGGACCGUCUGGGAGAGAGCUCUAAGUAUCUACGGAGUUGAAGGAACAUCAAAUGAAAGUAGGGGAGCUAACAUCCUGUCUCUGCCAGCUGAGCUUAGAAGGCAAAGAAGAACAUUGGUAAUAAGACUUAGAAGUUGUCCCAAGCUAACGCCGGAAACUAUAAAGGACAUCUUGGUCUCCAGGGUGAGGAAUUCAUUUUACUCUUAA